rnacentral:rRNA from 1 species
AACCGUGGUAAUUCUAGAGCUAAUACAUGCCAAAAACCUCGACUUCGGAAGGGGUGUAUUUAUUAGAUAAAAAACCAAUGCCCUUCGGGGCUCCUUGGUGAUUCAUAAUAACUCAACGAAUCGCAUGGCCUUGCGCCGGCGAUGGUUCAUUCAAAUUUCUGCCCUAUCAACUUUCGAUGGUAGGAUAGUGGUAAGCAUCUCUUCAUUCCAUCAUUUUUCGACGCAAUCGCUAACAUCUUCCCAGGCCUACCAUGGUCUCAACGGGUAAGAUGAUUCUCUGUUGCCCGUUCUCUUAUUCCGUAAGGGUCUUCCGCCUUUGCGACAUCAUUGGUUCAGAAGAUGUUCUGUCGGAGCUAAUUCUGAGGUGUGCCCCUCCAAGGGGCCGCCCAAACGCAUGCCAAGUGAUGGACCCUCGUUCAGAAGGGUUUGUGAUACAUGCUGUCCACUCGGGUAAAAUCGAAUCAGGCCGCGCCAAUUUGUGAGAUCGCUCUCGUGGUUCUGUGGGCUUGUUAGAAGAUUUGUUCAACAAAACAAGAUCACCCGCGGGCCGGAGAAUGUACUACAUGUGGCCGUCGAUCUGCAGGAUCUGACGAACGGGGAAUUAGGGUUCUAUUCCGGAGAGGGAGCCUGAGAAACGGCUACCACAUCCAAGGAAGGCAGCAGGCGCGCAAAUUACCCAAUCCCAAUACGGGGAGGUAUGUCACAUCCCCCCAUUCUCUACCCUCAUUUUUGGCCGAGAUAAGCUAACAACAGUUCAGGUAGUGACAAUAAAUACUGAUACAGGGCUCUUUCGGGUCUUGUAAUUGGAAUGAGUACAAUCUAAAUCCCUUGUUCCUGUUAGGGGAUCUUCUUAGUCAUCCACACAGUCGAUGGCAACGUCCCGUCUCUCCGAGGACUCGCAACCAUUCCUAGGUGGUUGUGAGAAUUCGAAGCCCUACUCUGGUUGGGUUCAGAGACUAUUCCAGGACGGAUGGUUCAACCAUUAAUAAUAUAGUCCAAUCCUGCGGCCCAACGUCGCGGGCCAUCAUGUAACGAGGAACAAUUGGAGGGCAAGUCUGGUGAACAAAUGUUCCGCUGACGCCAGACCCCGCCGGGCUCUCCCCCGUUGAUCGGGGAACCCGCGCAGAGUAGAUUGGUGAUCUCACCGUCUGCAAGAUGACCGGCACGGGGAAUGUGUUUGGCUGUGCGCAGCCGCCGAUCCCGUGGUUCGGGGCGGACUUUUACCUGGGUCCCCCCUUCCAUAACGCACGCAAGGUUAUCGCCAUCUCCCGACCCGCUUCUGUAAGCGGGCAGGGGCGAUGGUUCAGGUACGUGCUGAACCGACCCGUCAGGGUGUCACGACCUCUAAACGGGCGUGAUGUGGGUAAAUUAUGGCCAGCAGCCGCGGUAAUUCCAGCUCCAAUAGCGUAUAUUAAAGUUGUUGCAGUUAAAAAGCUCGUAGUUGAACCUUGGGUCUGGCUGAUCUGUCUUCCUAAUCGUUGUACGGAUUCGGUCGGACCUUUCCUCCUGGGGAAACCUAUGUCCUUUAUUGGUCGUAGUGGGGAACCAGGACUUUUACCUUGAAAAAAUUAGAGUGUUCAAAGCAGGCCUUUGCUCGAAUACAUUAGCAUGGAAUAAUACAAUAGGACAGCAGUUCUAUUUUGUUGGUUUCUAGGACCGCUGUAAUGAUUAAUAGGGAUAGUCGGGGGCGUCAGUAUUCAAUUGUCAGAGGUGAAAUUCUUGGAUUUAUUGAAGACUAACUAUUGCGAAAGCAUUCGCCAAGGAUGUUUUCAUUAAUCAGUGAACGAAAGUUAGGGGAUCGAAGACGAUCUUGGGCGGGGUCCCGGUUCCGUCGGGGCCCAUCUGGUCGUCCACAGUACAAGCUAGUCCCGCGGGGCAACACUGUCCAGUUGAGGAGUUUCCCAUCCCGGGUCAUCCACAGCCAAGUCCAACGUCGAGGUGAAUCUCGACCAGGACGCAGUUUACAGACUGUCUGACGGUGGGCUGAGAUUGAACCACAAUCUUGGUUUAAGAUAUAGCCGGUCCGGCGCCGCGACGCGCCCGGAGUCAACGCAGAUACCGUCGUAGUCUUAACCAUAAACUAUGCCGACUAGGGAUCGGACGGUGUUUUUUUAUAUGACCCGUUCGGCACCUUACGAGAAAUCAAAGUUUUUGGGCUCUGGGGGGAGUAUGGUCGCAAGGCUGAAACUUAAAGAAAUUGACGGAAGGGCACCACAAGGCGUAAGCGGCCACUCUGCGCCUGUCGAUGAAGCCCGGAACCAAUUCAUCGGGCAUGUCCCACGAGGCAUGCGGAUACCUAGAUUGUGGGGAACCUUUCGGGGUGAUCCGCAGCUCACUGCGGUGAGUCCAGAGAUUAGAUAGGUAUGGGAGGGAAAACCCCUUCUAAGCUAUAAUCCAUGCGUUGCCUUUUGCUGGCUUCUGCAAGCAUAUGGGAGCCUGCGGCUUAAUUUGACUCAACACGGGAAAACUCACCAGGUUAACCUUUGACCGUAACACGUCUGGGCCUGGGAAUCUUCAGUACUGGUUACACCGGUGCAACACCAGCUGGUACAGGGGACGCUCAACGCCGAUCCUGUAGCGAGCCCAUCCAGGAUGGGGCCGUUGCAACGCGCAGCAAGCGGUGGGCGGUUCUGGAGACGUCUUCUGAACCGCUUUUGGUAUAUGCUAACUCCACGGGCAACCGUGCCUCCCCGUCGAGACCUUCUGGUCGAGCUGUGGGUUGGACCUCUGCGGGAGGUGAGAUCCGUGCCAGACAUAAGAAGGAUUGACAGAUUGAGAGCUCUUUCUUGAUUUUAUGGGUGGUGGUAAACGUCCUUGUGCCACCUACAGCGUUACGGCGCCCACCGUUGAAAAAAUAGCUAGUCUGUCCGGCAGGCAACAUUCUUCUGUUGCUGAAAGUCAACCCGGCCAAAGGGUUGAUAUCAGCAGUUUUACCCUUCGCUACGAGGGUAGAAUUCACAGACUAGACAAGAAUGGACCGACAUCUCUAGAGCCAUCGUAGGCGUGUCGAAGCACCCUUCUGCAACUAUUUCCACAAUAUUUUAGCGUAAGCUGAUCUGCUUUUCGUCUGCAACAUGCGCUUCGAGAGAUCUGUCGGUUAGUGAUAUAGUCGAACCCAACGCGGAGACACGUUUGGUGGUUCGUGGCAUGGCCGUUCUUAGUUGGUG